rnacentral:rRNA from 1 species
GCGGUGGAGCAUGUGGUUAAUUCGAAGCAACGCGCAGAACCUUACCAGCCCUUCGACAUCCCGGUCGCGGAUCGCAGAGAUGCUUUCCUUCAGUUCGGCUGGACCGGUGACAGGUGCUGCAUGGCUGUCGUCAGCUCGUGUCGUGAGAUGUUGGGUUAAGUCCCGCAACGAGCGCAACCCCCGCCUUCAGUUGCCAACGGUUCGGCCGUGCACUCUGGAGGAACUGCCUGUGACAAGCAGGAGGAAGGUGGGGAUGACGUCAAGUCCUCAUGGCCCUUAUGGGCUGGGCUACACACGUGCUACAAUGGCGGUGACAGAGGGAUGCAAUACCGCGAGGUGGAGCUAAUCCCUAAAAGCCGUCUCAGUUCGGAUUGUUCUCUGCAACUCGAGAGCAUGAAGUCGGAAUCGCUAGUAAUCGCGGAUCAGCUCGCCGCGGUGAAUACGUUCCCGGGCCUU